GCGGCAGUAGCUCAGUGGGAGAGCUCCCGCUUCGCAUGCGGGGACACCUACGUUCGAUUCUCGGCUGCUUCC
rfam:Toxocara canis scaffold239, whole genome shotgun sequence.